AUUGAACGCUGGCUGCAGGCCUAACACAUGCAAGUCGAGCGGAGCGGCGGACGGGUGCGUAAUGCCUAGGAAUCUGCCUGGUAGUGGGGGAUAACGUCCGGGAGCGGGCGCUAAUACCGCAUACUAUCAGUUGAGCCUAGGUCGGAUUAGCUAGUUGGUGGGGUAAAGGCCUACAAAGGCGACGAUCCGUAACUGGUCUGAGAGGAUGAUCAGUCACACUGGAACAGAGAUACGGUCUAGAUUCCUACGGGAGGCAGCCGUGGGGAAUCUUGAAAAAGGGGAGAAAGGCUAACUCAGCCAUGCCGCGGAUAUGGAGAAGUUCUUCGGAUUGUAAAACACUUUAAGUUGGGAGGCGGUACCAACAGAACAAGCAACGGCUAACUACGUGCCAGCCGCCGCGGUAAUAC
rnacentral:rRNA from 1 species